rnacentral:lncRNA from 1 species
AUGUGUUCUUAAAAGCUUCAACCUGUGACUCUUCACCAUAACUCACUCUCCUUCCUGAAGUAAUGGCACAACCACAACCCUGACGAGUGAUGCGUCACCUUCUGUUCACUUCUGUUCACCUUGUUGCAUCCUCAUCUCUGCAUCCCUGCUCUCCUCAUCCCGCAGUGCUGUCUCCUUCCCUAUUACUGCCCCUGACAGUGUUUUAAUGAGUCCGAUGGCAGCACUAAUUCUCUCUCACAGUGGCAGGGUAAUGUGUUCGCUGAUGCUAAAUGGCUCGACUGUUCCUGGUGCUGUUCUCUUACUUGCUUUCUCUAUCUCCUUAUCUUUUCUCUGCAUGCUUCCCUCUCCUCCUUCAUCUCUCUCUAUCCUUUAAAACCUUCUUUCACUACAUCUUUCAAACUUUUGUCUUCAACAUCAUCUCUUUCCAAACUCUUCAUCCCUCUCCAUUCUUCUCUCACCUCUCUCUCUCUCUCUCUCUCUCUCCAUCUGUCUAACUAUCCCUCUCUUCCAGUUACGAUCGCAGCUGUUCCCAGCAUCCGCCCCCUCUUUCCCGUGGUGUGGCUCCCCCCCUCUCCCUCGCGCUCCCUCGUUCCCUCGCUUCGGAGGACAGCCGGCAGACACUGCACAGCACCUCCUCCUCCUUCACCGACAGGGAGAGGAUCCCAGUUGUGAACCUCUGAGGCGACUGUUUUUCCAUAUGGCAAACAAUUCUAAGGGGCCUGAAGAGAAGCAUCAACAUGACCAGAGGGUGUGCCCGCAGCGCCGUUUUAUUUUCUCUGAAACUGUGAAAUGAAUUCAGGGAUCCCAGGUAUCCAGCCACCACAAAACUCUUUGGCUUCCCUGAGGUCUAAAAAAAAUCCAAACUCAUCUCCCUGCUGCUCACUUACUCCUUUUCCCCUCACUGUGCUUGAUGUAAAUUUCUUUUUAUGUGGUUCUGCCUCACUGUGACCUGUUCUCUGUUUUACACCCUUUGAAUGGCCCCAAGCUCUGCCAAGCUACUAAACAGCCCUGUGCUUCGACCUGCCAUGACUAAUUCGCAAACAAGCAGUGUAACAGCCAUACAGCAUCCCAUUAAUCCUGAAAUGCCCUACCUGUGCUUCCACAGCUGUUUCCAGUGACUCAGCUGCACACAUGUGUUCAGUGUUAAUGCUGAUCCAUCAGGCUGAUCUUUUCAUGACACCAAUACUAAGAAAAAUCUGUUCCAUUUAGCAGUCUUGUAUCUGGCUUUUAAACAGUUAAAAAGCCAUUCUCAGCAUCUCCAAACACUGAACGGGGUAUUUCACAAAGCUGUUUGGC